rnacentral:misc_RNA from 1 species
GAAAUGCGAUAACUAGUGUGAAUUGCAGAAUUCCGUGAAUCAUCGAGUCUUUGAACGCACAUUGCGCCCCCUGGUAUUCCGGAGGGCAUGCCUGUCCGAGCGUCAUUGCUGCCCAUCAAGCACGGCUUGUGUGUUGGGUCGUCGUCCCCUCUCCGGGGGGGACGGGCCCCAAAGGCAGCGGCGGCACCGCGUCCGAUCCUCGAGCGUAUGGGGCUUUGUCACCCGCUCUGUAGGCCCGGCCGGCGCUUGCCGAACGCAAAUCAAUCUUUUUCCAGGUUGACCUCGGAUCAGGUAGGGAUACCCGCUGAACUUAAGC